rnacentral:rRNA from 1 species
GAUGAACGCUGGCGGCGUGCCUAAUACAUGCAAGUCGAGCGAACGGACGAGAAGCUUGCUUCUCUGAUGUUAGCGGCGGACGGGUGAGUAACACGUGGAUAACCUACCUAUUAGACUGGGAUAACUUCGGGAAACCGGAGCUAAUACCGGAUGAUAUUUUGUACCGCAUGGUUCAAAAGUGAAAGACGGUCUUGCUGUCACUUAUAGAUGGAUCCGCGCUGCAUUAGCUAGUUGGUAAGGUAACGGCUUACCAAGGAAACGAUGCAUAGCCGACCUGAGAGGGUGAUCGGCCACACUGGAACUGAGACACGGUCCAGACUCCUACGGGAGGCAGCAGUAGGGAAUCUUCCGCAAUGGGCGAAAGCCUGACGGAGCAACGCCGCGUGAGUGAUGAAGGUCUUCGGAUCGUAAAACUCUGUUAUUAGGAAAGAACAUAUGUGUAAGUAACUGUGCACAUCUUGACGGUACCUAAUCAGAAAGCCACGGCUAAAUACGUG